GAUGAACGCUAGCUACAGGCUUAACACAUGCAAGUCGAGGGGAAACGACAUCGAAAGCUUGCUUUUGAUGGGCGUCGACCGGCGCACGGGUGAGUAACGCGUAUCCAACCUGCCCAUCACUUGGGAAUAACCUUGCGAAAGUAAGACUAAUACCCAAUGACAUCCCACGAAGACAUCUGAAUGGGAUUAAAGAUUUAUCGGUGAUGGAUGGGGAUGCGUCUGAUUAGCUUGUUGGCGGGGUAACGGCCCACCAAGGCAACGAUCAGUAGGGGUUCUGAGAGGAAGGUCCCCGGCAUUGGAGCUGAGACACGGUCCAAACGCCUACGGGAGGGAGCAGUGAGGAAGAGGGGGCAAUGGGGGGGAGCCUGGGCCAGCCGAGUAGCGUGCAGGAUGGCGGCGCUAUGGGUUGUAAGCUGCUUUUAGAAGGGAAUAGAGUGGGUCUCGGGGGACUUUUUGCAUGUACCUGAUGAAUAAGGACCGGCUAAUUCCGUG
rnacentral:rRNA from 1 species